rnacentral:rRNA from 1 species
GACGAACGCUGGCGGCGUGCCUAAUGCAUGCAAGUAGAACGCUGAAGGAGGAGCUUGCUUCUCUGGAUGAGUUGCGAACGGGUGAGUAACGCGUAGGUAACCUGCCUGGUAGCGGGGGAUAACUAUUGGAAACGAUAGCUAAUACCGCAUAAGAGUAGAUGUUGCAUGACAUUUGCUUAAAAGGUGCACUUGCAUCACUACCAGAUGGACCUGCGUUGUAUUAGCUAGUUGGUGGGGUAACGGCUCACCAAGGCGACGAUACAUAGCCGGCCUGAGAGGGGGAUCGGCCACACUGGGACUGAGACACGGCCCAGACUCCUACGGGAGGCAGCAGUAGGGAAUCUUCGGCAAUGGACGGAAGUCUGACCGAGCAACGCCGCGUGAGUGAAGAAGGUUUUCGGAUCGUAAAGCUCUGUUGUAAGAGAAGAACGAGUGUGAGAGUGGAAAGUUCACACUGUGACGGUAUCUGACCAGAAAGGGACGGCUAACUACGUG